AAAUUGGGAAACUGGUUGACUCAUGGACAUUUUAUUGUACUUAAACUAGUACUAUGCUUAAUGAUAGUCUUUUGUGUUUUUUAGAUCAUCUGGCAAAGAGAUUUGCAGAGUGUCGGGUGACCGGCAAAGAGAUCUGCAAAGUGUCAGUUGAAGAUGACGGGAGGGGUCGUAGAGGUAGCAACGACUGGAGUAUAACAUGCAGAAGAUCAUCAUUUGGCAAAGUUCUGGCAAAGAGAUUUGCAGAGUGUCGGGUGACCGGCAAAGAGAUCUGCAAAGUGUCAGUUGAAGACGAUGGGAGGGGUCGCAGAGGAUUAGUGACUGGAGAAUAGCAUGCAGGAGUGGGUGAUCCCUGAAUAGCUGCCCUGGGAGGAGAGCUGCGGACACAUGCUCCAAAUGUUGGGACAUAUGCAUUACCUAUUAGGAGAUGCGGUAAAGAUACCGGCUGUCGGGUUUACGGCAGUCAGAAUACUGACACUGGGAUCCCGACACUCUUCAGAAUCCCGACGUUGGAACUCCGAAUGGAAAAGGAUUCCAAUGCCCAUUAUCCCCACGAUCAUAGCUUUAGGGCU